CAAAAACAUCGCCUCUAGAACUCUAUAUUAGAGGUCCAUUCUGCCCUAUGCCCUACGGGGUAAAUGGCCGCGGUAGCCUGACCGUGCUAAGGUAGCAUAAUCACUUGCCGUUUAAUUGAUGGCUGGAAUGAAUGAAUAUACGAGAGCUCAACUGUCUCAUUUUUACCAAUAUAAAUUGACCCUCAAGUGAAGAGACUUGAAUUCUAAAAAAAGACGAAAAGACCCUAUAGAGCUUUACCUGAACUCUAUAUAUUUUAGAACUAAGGUUUAGUUGGGGCAACUAGAGAGUAUCUAAAACCUCUCUUCUAGUAAAUUGAUAAGAUCCGCUUUUGCGAUAAGAAGAAAAAGCUACCUUAGGGAUAACAGGCUAAUCCUCUUUAAGAGACCAUAUUGACAAGAGGGAUUGGCACCUCGAUGUUGGCUCAGGGUUACAGUUUGAUGCAGCAGUCAAACAAAGUAGGU
rnacentral:rRNA from 1 species